rnacentral:rRNA from 1 species
CUUGACUGUAUCUUGGAAUUGGGUUCGGGCUUUUCUUGCGCAGACUAGGUGGGAGGCUAUGAAGAUUUUCUUCCGGGAAAGUUGGAGUCAACAGUGAGAGACCACUCUGGAAAGGCUAGAAUCCUAAUGGUGAUCCUUGAAUCAGGACACUUGACAGUUUCAGGUGGGCAGUUUUUCUGGGGCGGAAGCCUCAUAAAGGGUAACUGAGGCGCGCAAAGGUCCCCUCAGUCUGGACGGAAAUCAGACAUUGAGUGUAAAGGCAAAAGGGGGCUUGACUGCAAGACCUACAAGUCGAGCAGGGGCGAAAGCUGGCCUUAGUGAUCCGACGGUGCCGUGUGGAAGGGCCGUCGCUCAACGAAUAAAAGUUA